rnacentral:misc_RNA from 1 species
GAUGAAGAACGCAGCGAAAUGCGAUAAGUAGUGUGAAUUGCAGAAUUCAGUGAAUCAUCGAAUCUUUGAACGCACAUUGCGCCCUUUGGUAUUCCUUAGGGCAUGCCUGUUCGAGCGUCAUUUAAACCUUCAAGCCCCCGGCUUGUGUUGGGGACCUGCGGCUGCCGCAGGCCCUGAAAUGCAGUGGCGGGCUCGCUGUCACCCCGAGCGUAGUAGUUACAUCUCGCUCUGGGCGUGCUGCGGGUUCCGGCCGUUAAAAGCCUUAUUUACCCAAGGUUGACCUCGGAUCAGGUAGGAAGACCCGCUGAACUUAAGCAUAUCAAUAAGCGGAGGA